AUUGCCUCAGUAACGGCGAGUGAAGCGGCAACAGCUCAAAUUUGAAAUCUGGCCCUCUCAGGGUCCGAGUUGUAAUUUGUAGAAGAUGCUUUGGGUGUGGCUCCGGUCUAAGUUCCUUGGAACAGGACGUCAUAGAGGGUGAGAAUCCCGUAUGUGACUGGUUGCCUUCGCCCGUGUAAAGCUCUUUCGACGAGUCGAGUUGUUUGGGAAUGCAGCUCAAAAUGGGUGGUAAAUUUCAUCUAAAGCUAAAUAUUGGCCAGAGACCGAUAGCGCACAAGUAGAGUGAUCGAAAGAUGAAAAGCACUUUGGAAAGAGAGUUAAACAGUACGUGAAAUUGUUGAAAGGGAAGCGCUUGCAACCAGACUUGCACGCAGUUAAUCAUCUGGUGUUCUCACCGGUGCACUUUUCUGCGUUCAGGCCAGCAUCGGUUUAGGUGGUGGGAUAAAGGCCUUGGGAAUGUAGCUUCUCUCGGGGAGUGUUAUAGCCCUCGGCGCAAUGCCGCCUACCUGGACCGAGGACCGCGCUUCGGCUAGGAUGCUGGCGUAAUGGUUGUAAGCGACCCGUCUUGAAACACGGACCAAGGAGUCUAACAUCUAUGCGAGUGUUUGGGUGUCAAACCCAUACGCGUAAUGAAAGUGAACGGAGGUGAGAACCCUUAAGGGUGCAUCAUCGACCGAUCCUGAUGUCUUCGGAUGGAUUUGAGUAAGAGCAUAGCUGUUGGGACCCGAAAGAUGGUGAACUAUGCCUGAAUAGGGUGAAGCCAGAGGAAACUCUGGUGGAGGCUCGCAGCGGUUCUGACGUGCAAAUCGAUCGUCAAAUUUGGGUAUAGGGGCGAAAGACUAAUCGAACCAUCUAGUA
rnacentral:rRNA from 1 species